GUCAACAACCCAUGACUAAAGUCACGGGCUUGCAAGCCCGUUGUUGAUUAGACUAAGGAGAAUAUCUUAAAAAAGAUACAUAUCCUACGUUAUUUAAGAAUACAUAGGUACCAGGGGAUGUAUAGCCAAGUCCCUUGCUCUA
rnacentral:sRNA from 1 species